CGCUCCGGGAAGCAGGCGGAGGAGGAGCGGAGGUGAGCUGGUGCGGCGGGGGCACAUUUCUAGGGGCGCUAUGACCGGCGCCAGAAUGCCACCCCUGGAAAUGUGCCAUCCCAAGCACCUGCUUGUUUUGCUGGUGCCUAGAGCCGGCCCUGCUAACCAUUAUAAGCUUUCAUUUGGGAAAGCAAGGUAGAAGUGUGCCUUGCACUUGGAAUGUAAAAUGGUGAGGUCCGCAGUAUAACAGAAGUGGAUUUCACAGAUUUCACCAGUCCUUGAGAAAGCUCUGUCUUCUGCACAAUGGAGCAUCACUUUUCAGUAGACAGAGCUUUUCUCAUGCCAGAGGAGCAGAGUUGAUAACUGUGGUCCUGGUUCAUCCCCGGAUGUGAGGUGAUCUUUUAAGCAUCCAGGUCCCAGAUCAUUUCAAGUCUUUUAAUGAGCCUAGGAGCUUCAAUUUGACACACUAUUUGACAGGGUCCAUGUGUAGGGAACAGAGGAAAGGUCUGAUGUGCUUGCAUCAUUAAUCUUUGUUGCUGAGGAGAUGCAGUGCCUCAUUCUGUAUCAGUUGUAGUUCUCUCAGGCCUAUAGCUUUCCUGCCCAUACAGAGUAUGCUGCUGUAUUAAUGAGGCAUCUUGUGCCAAGUUAGGAUGUAGUCUCCCAGCCAGCCAGAGAUGACAGAAAAUGUUCCUAAUGUGAUGAACCCAUUGUUCUUUCCACUGUCUGUUCUGAUUCUGUUUCCUCACAAAGAAGAGCUCUUCACUCAGUAGAUGAUAAGCACAUAUUACAAUUCAGUCCCAAGAAUUUAGAACAGUUAAACAGUUGGGUGAGAUUUGAAGGCUGCCAUACAGGCAAAGCUGCCAUCAAACUAUUACUGACUGGUCAGAGAGAGCAUUUUGGGGACACCUUUGCAGCCUGGACAGCUACAUUUAGAAUAUAUCCAGGUCCACUCUUCAAGGAGUAGAAAAGUCCUAUAAGAAGCAUGGUGAGGUAAGCCCUUCUCCAGGCAUGUGGUUGUUCACUGACUGUCCUGGCCUCUCUCAGUUCAUAAUGUGGGCAAAGGCAAUACAAAAGGAAUUUCUGAUGAGUCAUUUCCCCUUAUUAGCUGUCUUUGAAGAUCAUAUUCCAGUUAGAUUCAAGUAUUUAAUUUUUUUUUCUAUAGACCGUUUUUUCAUUGAAUUCUAAAAUAUGCCAUCUCACUGUAGCCCCACAGUAAAAUGAUCCCUUAUGGAAAAGUCCUAUAAAAUAGGAGAUGAACUUAAUAGAAAUGACCAAUAGGGAUCUAGAGAAAUUACUGCAAAAUCCUGUAACUUUAAUGGUGCUUCAUACAUUUUCUCUGAUUUUUUUUAACCACUGUGCAGAAUUCUACAGAAGAGUUAUCAUUUUGUGUCAAACUCUAUAUUACUUGUGCCAAAGGGGGAUAUCUUCAGUUCUCCUUUAGACGUAUUCCCAACAUUGAUUCUUGGGGAAAAAACGAGUGACCAUGUCUCUCAUCCAAAAAGGUACCUAGGCACCUAAGUCCCGUUUUCAGGCACCGCUGCAAUCCACAAAAUUCUCGUUUGGCUGCUACCUAUCCCAGUAGGCACACAAAUUCACACAGCACCUACUUUAUUACAGUAAAAGUUCCCAGGCCCUAUAUUUCUGCUUCUGGGAAUGUGCACUUUUGCCUCAGUCUAGGUGGACUUACCUGAUUGCAGCAGGUGGGAGGGAGGGGGAAGCGCUGAUCGGCAGGGCCUGCUGAUUGGCAGGAGAUGCUGGGGGAAGGGAGAAGCUGAUAGGACGGCUGCUGUGGGUGCUCAAGCCCCAGAGCAGCCACGGAUUUGGCACCUAUGAGCUUAGGCAGCUCCCUGCCUAGAGAGCUGGCUUUCUGGAUCACAUUCCUCUCUCUCCCCAUUCAUUGUAUGAGGAGCCUAGGAGCCUAACUUGGCCUUGUGGGUCACAGUGUUGUUCCUUUGAUUUUUCUAGGCACCUAAAAGUGAGGCACUGCAGCACCGAAGUCCCUUUUUGGAUGAAGCAAUAUUAACCAAAUUCAUGAUCCUGAGAGAGGCCAAGUCUGCUUCACUCCCCCUGAAUUGAAUCAGCUCGGCAGCUCUAAGUUGCCAAGAAUGUUUGUCUGCCUCGCCUGUCAGAUUUUGGACGGCAUCACUCUUUCACAAGCUGCUCAUGCUAAAAUAAAACCCAUCAUCCCUAUUGAUCAUUUGUCAGCAGCAAAAGCCUGUAUACAUCAAUCUCCUCAUGUCGCCAUCAGACCAAGUGCUGGUACUUCUGCAGAGCACGGAAGCAAGCAAACGAAGUUAAAAUAGACAGGAAAAGUACUCAACAGUAUGGAAAUUGCCCAGCACAGAAGAAAACUCUUCUUUGGAGAUGGAGAUGGAGCAUCAAGUAUGUAUUCAAAUGGAAUAUGCAUGAAUAAUUGGAAGGACUGUCCUGGAAAACUAGAUGUACAUGAGAAACUGAAUUACCACGGGACUGCAUUUCUAAAGUGCACGCCUACACGUGCCAAGUGAAUGAAGAGGUUCAGCUACCAUGCAAUAAAGAAGUCAAGCAAAAUACAAAUCACAGUUGUUUUUUGGAGCAACUCAAGUGCAUCCAGUAUCUUAUGAGGUAAGGGCGGUAAGGGGGCCUUCAGAUGAUGAAAGCAGUUUUCAGAAGCUCUUCAGCAUUAUUUCAACCAACAACAGACUUGACAAAGAAAUUAAGCAAUGGUUGAAAAAGAAAAGCUGGUAGGCUUCGCGCAACAUUUUCAAUGCACAAAUUACAGAAAUGUACUGUCAGGCAUUUUUUAAACUUAUUUCUGACUGCUUGUCUUUGUCCAUAUUUUCUUUUGUUAUUGAUGAAACCAGGGAUAUGCGUGGUCAUGAACAACUUGUGGUUGCUGUGUGGUUGGCUGAUGAUAAUGGAGGUUGCAGAAGAGUUUGUUGGGCUGUGCGGUUGCCCGAUGAUGGAUGUAAUAUCUCUAUUGAAUAUAAUUAUAGAUGUAUUAUUGUGAAUGGGAUGAGACCUCAAAAACAUCUGAAAACAGAUUUACAAUGGUAUGAGUGUACUUCAGGGAAAGACUUCUA